AUAUAAGUUAUAUCAGUGGCAAUAUUUGUGUGUGGGCUUUUUAUAUCUUGAUAUAAGCAUUUGCAAAAUGGCGCCAAGUAGGCAUAUGCUUUGCAUAGAAGCGCUGAAAAAAUUAAAAAAUCUGCAAAAAAUUAUAGAAGAAAGGCGAAAAAGGAAAAAACAUAAAUUUUGGGUGAAUCCGUUUUUGGCACAAAGAGGCCUUCACGAUUUGGAAGCAAAUCUCCUCAAAGACAUUUUAUGGGAAGAAGGACAGGACUUCAAUAACUUUUGUAGGAUGUCCAUUGACCAGUUUAAUGAGAUUCUUUCAAAGGUGGAUUCGAGAAUAAAAAAAACUGAUACAAAUAUGAGAUGUGCCAUAACCUCAAGAGUUCGCCUUGCUGUUACACUCCGCUACCUAGCGACUGGGGACUCCUUUCGGUCUUUAGAGUUUUUAACACAUAUUUCGCGGAAGACAAUUAGCAAUUUUUUACCGGAAGUACUACAAGCUUUAAUUGCUGUUCUUCAGGAUGAAUACUUAAAGGAGAAUUCUACUUAGUGAGUGUUAUAAUCCCUAAGAGCGGCCAAAAGCCUCCUACUCAGAAAGGUGCUCUCUGCAAAAGGUGUUCAGCCCCAAACGUAUAGAAUGUAAACAAAAGACUCAUAGAGUAAUGUGUGUGUGUCUUAAAAAUAAAUAUCAAUCUCGUGGUACUUAUGGUUUUUUUCUUUCGAUGUUACUCCACUUAACAGACCAAAUGGAAGCUUAGCAAAAGUAUAAGUAUACAUAUUGAGUGCAGAGUUCAAACAAAGAACUCCACAGAGUAAUGUGUGUGUUUGUCUCAAAAGCGAAUAUUAAUCUCAUGCGACUUACGGUUCCAGAGCUAUACCUGAUUAAAAAUUGUGCACGUAUGGGAUGUAAAUCCAUCUAUAUAUAUAUAUAUACCUUACAAUUGCCUUACAAUAAGCACCUACCACAGUUAUGUUUUCACACUGAUUUUGUCCAUCUGGUGAGGAUGCAACCUGAUACCUGCGACCGAAAAAGAGUGGUUGGAUGUGGCUAACGAUUUUGAAACACUUUGGCAAUUCCCGCACACUUUGGGAGCAAUCGACGGAAAGCAUAUCCGAAUAAAAGCGCCACCUCGUUCUGGAUCAGAUUUUCACAAUUAUAAGGGCUUUUUCAGUAUUAUUCUUCUUGCAGUGGUUGAUGCACACAGCCGAUUUAUAUAUGUCGAUAUCGGAGCGAAUGGAAGAGCAUCUGACGUCAUGGCCUUCAAAAAUAGCUUAUUGUAUGAUAACUUGUCAAGAGGCCAAUUAAACCUUCCUGCUGAUAAGCCUUUAAAGGGACAACUUUCCAAAACACCCUUCUAUUUUAUCGGCGAUGACAUUUUUGGUUUGAACCGCCAUUUAAUGAAAGCGUACAACCGAAGUUCCAACUUAAGCACUGCUCAAGAAGCGUAUAAUUACAGAUUAAGUAGAGCGCGAAUGACUGUGGAAAUGGCGUUUGGUAGGCUCAGUUCACGAUUUCGCGUUUUUCACCGACCCAUUGAGGUUUCAGUGGAAACAUGCGAUACUGUCGUUAAGGCGUGUUGCAUUUUGCAUAACUAUUUAGCGCGAAAACUGGCUCAGGCACCAAAUCCCCAGCAAGACAUCUCUAACCAAGUUCUUCCGUCUACAAUUUCCUCUUUACCAGUACAAGAGCAAAAUACGUACAAAUACGCAUGUAAAACACGAGAUAAUAUCUGUAAAUAUUGCAUAACUGAUGGAGAUGUGCCGUAUCAAUGGCAUAAAAUAAAAAAACAAGUUCCAAAAUGAAA
rnacentral:misc_RNA from 1 species